rnacentral:rRNA from 1 species
AGUGAACGCUGGCGGUAGGCCUAACACAUGCAAGUCGAACGGCAGCACAGUAAGAGCUUGCUCUUACGGGUGGCGAGUGGCGGACGGGUGAGGAAUACAUCGGAAUCUACUUUUUCGUGGGGGAUAACGUAGGGAAACUUACGCUAAUACCGCAUACGACCUACGGGUGAAAGCAGGGGAUCUUCGGACCUUGCGCGAUUGAAUGAGCCGGUGUCGGAUUAGCUAGUUGGCGGGGUAAAGGCCCACCAAGGCGACGAUCCGUAGCUGGUCUGAGAGGAUGAUCGGCCACACUGGAACUGAGACACGGUCCAGACUCCUACGGGAGGCAGCAGUGGGGAAUAUUGGACAAUGGGCGCAAGCCUGAUCCAGCCAUACCGCGUGAGUGAAGAAGGCCUUCGGAUUGUAAAGCCCUUUUAUUGGGAAAGAAAAGAAGCGGAUUAAUCCCCCGCUGUUCUGACGGUACCGAAAGAGUAAGCAACGGCUAACUUCGUG